GCUGGUCCACGAAAACCCACCACUGCAGUGACUAAUCAAUAUCCCACCAAUCAAUAAAAGUUUCGACAGCAUGACAUGACAAUUAUAUUACUACCCAGCCUGUUAAGGCAAAACAAAUAGUUCAUACAAUUUCCACACAAUUUCCAAUUCAACCAUUCAUGCCAAUAUCACCAUAAGCCAUUCAAUUCAAACCAUAAAUUUACAACACAAACAAACAGUCUCCAAUUACUCAAUUUCUAAAAUCAUCAUUCAAUUUCAAAAUGAUUUAUAAAACUCAUUUCAUUUAAUCACAUUUUACUUAUAAAACAUAAGGAUUUACAUUUAAACUCAUUUUUCUAUAAAAUCACAAAAAUGAAUAAAAACUACUUUAGAUAAUUAAGACAAUAAUAAGGUUACUCACAAUAUCGAGAAUCGAGGUACUCCUAAUCCCGAUCUUCGAGUAUAAUCUCCUUACCCUUAUCGAAAGUUUCACCACCUAGACAUAAUGCACAACAAGCAAUUUACUAUAUUUGUGCUAAACCAUUAUAAACUAAUUUAGGCUCUAUAUGAAUGCAUGAAAUGGGAUGUGAAAUGUUCAGAUUAUUAUCUAAAUACUGUGUUCUACAUAGGUUCAAUUGUGUAUGGGGCUGAAAUGGUAUUGACCUAAUUCACACUAUACACCGGUUAAUUGGGCAAAAUAUCCAAUUCAACUCCAAAUAAAUUCAUUUCACUUCCAAUACUCCAAAUCAUCAAAUAUAAGCUAGAUAACAUGAAUUAUAGCAAAAUCAUCCUCAACAUUUUCUCUUGGAAAAAUUCAGCCAUUGAGGGUUCAUAAAUAAUAUGUGGUUUUUUUUCAUGCUUGAUUUUUACACUUUACAUCAUAAAACGACUAAAAAUACCUAACUAGCAUGAAAUUCAUCAAAGUCCAUUUUCCAAUUUCUCUUUUGAAAAAUUCAGCCAAUGGGUGUGGGUGAAGGGCAUGAAAUUUGUUGCUUGUUUUCCAUGCUAAACAUCACCAAACAACUAAAAACACUAGAAUAACAUGAAAUCUAGCUAAAUCCAAGAUCAAAACCCCUCCCCCCAUGUCCGGCCAACAAAGGUAUCUUCAUGUAAACUUGAUUGUCAACCAUGGAAAAUGAAAAAGAAUGCAUAGGAAAGGUAGAUCACAAGCUAAAAUCAAGAAAUCUUACCUUUACUUGAUUAAUUCCUUGAAAUCCACCAAUUUUCCCUUGAAUUUUUGCUCACUAGGGUUUGUUCUCUUCUUUUUUCUCUUUGUUCUUGUCUUAGCCGACCAUGAAGAAUGAAAUAAGAGAGGU
rnacentral:lncRNA from 1 species